CCAUUUUGGGUGUUUCAGUGGUGGUCUCAGCAGACCCUUAUGAGCACAAGUCUUCUCCACCACCACCAUAUGAGUACAAGUCUCCACCACCACCCUCACCUUCACCUCCACCAUAUGAAUAUAAGUCUCCUCCCCCACCACCAUAUGAGUACAAGUCUCCACCACCACCCUCUCCUUCACCACCACCAUAUGAGUACAAGUCUCCUCCCCCACCACCAUAUGAGUACAAGUCUCCACCACCACCCUCACCUUCACCUGCACCGUAUGAAUACAAGUCUCCUCCCCCACCACCAUAUGAAUAUAAAUCUCCUCCCCCACCACCAUAUGAGUACAAGUCUCCACCACCACCCUCUCCUUCACCUGCACCAUAUGAAUACAAGUCUCCUCCACCACCACCAUAUGAAUAUAAGUCUCCUCCCCCACCACCAUAUGAGUACAAGUCUCCACCACCACCCUCUCCUUCACCUCCACCAUAUGAGUACAAGUCUCCUCCCCCACCACCAUAUGAGUACAAGUCUCCACCACCACCCUCACCUUCACCUGCACCGUAUGAAUACAAGUCUCCUCCCCCACCACCAUAUGAAUAUAAGUCUCCUCCACCACCCUCUCCUUCACCUGCACCAUAUGAAUACAAGUCUCCUCCACCACCACCAUAUGAAUAUAAGUCUCCUCCUCCACCUUCACCCUCUCCACCACCACCAUAUGAGUACAAGUCUCCACCACCACCCUCUCCUUCACCUGCACCAUAUAAAUACAAGUCUCCUCCACCACCACCAUAUGAAUAUAAGUCUCCUCCUCCACCUUCACCUUCACCUGCACCAUAUAAAUACAAGUCUCCUCCACCACCACCAUAUGAAUAUAAGUCUCCUCCCCACCACCAUAUGAGUACAAGUCUCCACCACCACCCUCUCCUUCACCUGCACCAUAUAAAUACAAGUCUCCUCCCCCACCACCAUAUGAGUACAAGUCUCCACCACCACCCUCUCCUUCACCUGCACCAUAUAAAUACAAGUCUCCUCCACCACCACCAUAUGAAUAUAAGUCUCCUCCUCCACCUUCACCCUCUCCACCACCACCAUAUGAGUACAAGUCUCCACCACCACCCUCUCCUUCACCUGCACCAUAUAAAUACAAGUCUCCUCCACCACCACCAUAUGAAUAUAAGUCUCCUCCUCCACCUUCACCCUCUCCACUACCACCAUAUGAGUACAAGUCUCCACCACCACCCUCUCCUUCACCUGCACCAUAUGAGUACAAGUCUCCUCCCCCACCACCAUAUGAGUACAAGUCUCCACCACCACCCUCACCUUCACCUGCACCGUAUGAAUACAAGUCUCCUCCCCCACCACCAUAUGAAUAUAAGUCUCCACCACCGCCCUCUCCUUCACCUGCACCAUAUGAAUACAAGUCUCCUCCACCACCACCAAUGAAGCCUCCACAUCCACCAUACUACUAUAAUUCUCCACCACCACCAGU
rnacentral:lncRNA from 1 species